GACGAAGGGGGCUAGCGUUGUUCGGAAUUACUGGGCGUAAAGGGCGCGUAGGCGGCCUGCUAAGUCGAACGUGAAAUCCCCGAGCUCAACUCGGGAACUGCGUCCGAUACUGACAGGCUUGAAUCCGGGAGAGGGUAUGUGGAAUUCCCGGUGUAGUGGUGAAAUGCGUAGAUAUCGGGAGGAACACCAGUGGCGAAGGCGACUACCUGGCCUGUUUCUUGACGCUGAGGCGCGAAAGGCUAGGGGAGCGAAACGGG
rnacentral:rRNA from 1 species